GUAGUUGUGGUGUAAUGGUAGCAUGCAAGCCUGUGGAGCUUGCGGACCGGGUUCAAUCCCCGGCUUCUGCC
rnacentral:tRNA from 1 species